CCUACGGGAGGCAGCAGUGGGGAAUAUUGCGCAAUGGACGAAAGUCUGACGCAGCCAUGCCGCGUGUGUGAAGAAGGCCUUAGGGUUGUAAAGCACUUUCAAUGGGGAGGAAAGGUUGCAGGCUAAUACCUUGUAACUGUGACGUUACCCAUACAAGAAGCACCGGCUAACUCCGUGCCAGCAGCCGCGGUAAUACGGAGGGUGCAAGCGUUAAUCGGAAUUACUGGGCGUAAAGCGCGCGUAGGCGGAUUUGUCAGUCAGAUGUGAAAGCCCUGGGCUCAACCUAGGAAUUGCAUUUGAUACUGCGAGUCUAGAGUAUGGUAGAGGUGAGUGGAAUUCCAGGUGUAGCGGUGAAAUGCGUAGAUAUCUGGAGGAACAUCAGUGGCGAAGGCGACUCACUGGAUCAAUACUGACGCUGAGGUGCGAAAGCGUGGGGAGCA
rnacentral:rRNA from 1 species